GAUGAAGAACGUAGUGAAAUGCGAUAAGUAAUGUGAAUUGCAGAAUUCAGUGAAUCAUCGAAUCUUUGAACGCACAUUGCGCCCGCCAGUAUUCUGGCGGGCAUGCCUGUUCGAGCGUCAUUUCAACCAUCAAGCCCCAGGCUUGUGUUGGGGACCUGCGGCUGCCGCAGGCCCUGAAAACCAGUGGCGGGCUCGCUGUCACACCGGGCGUAGUAGAUUUUAUCUCGCUCAGGGCGUGCUGCGGGUUCCGGCCGUUAAAAAGCCUUUUUUACCCAAGGUUGACCUCGGAUCAGGUAGGAAUACCCACUGAACUUAAGCAUAUCAAUAAGCGGAGGA
rnacentral:misc_RNA from 1 species